rnacentral:lncRNA from 1 species
GCCCUCUUAGCAUCCAUAAUUCUUGCAAAUCUUACAAAACCAAAAGAUAGACCUUUUCAAUUCCUAUUGUUAGGAAUAAACACGUCCAACACUUUGCCAUGGUACUUAGAGAUUUUCCAGAGUCCCUUCCAAUGAAAACAAGCGUGAAUAUUAGAAACAUAAAUAGAAAUCACCAUUUUCUCUAACGAUUUAGCCUAAUAAUAGUUAAAAAUAACUCCACGACAUCUGGUUAAAAGCACAAGUUAAAUUACCAAGAACAAGGUGCUUCAUUGGAGAACUUGAGCAAAAAUCAAUAUCGAUAGCAUACAUAAAAGAAUUAGAGAUUAAAUAUAAGAUGAAAUCAGCCAAGCCAAGGCGGCAAUGACUAAACCAAAAUAUUCAUUUGCUCCAUUCAAUUUCCUACAAUAAUCAGCAUUUGACUAAACUUUGCAACCUAUACAAGUUUUUUUGGGAUUGUGAUGAAAUAAGAACAAAAGUCCCGAAAAGAUACGUAAAACAUUUACUCAUCCAUGGCAACUGACUGAAAAAAUUUGGGUUGCCAUCUAGCUCAUAAUCAUAUACAAGGUCAAUCCCAAAUUCUAGUACAGAUAAAUUUGAAAGAACCCGCAGACUAAUACGAUCACCAGCUUCUAGUUCAUCACCCCUAAAGUUCCAACAAGUCGUCCAGUAUAAGGUAUUCUUGGUUUCAGGAAUUCCCAUGAAAUGUUUGGAGUAGGUCCACUGUGUACCUUUAGUCUCGUUCACAAUUUCAAGGCAUGGUAAAAAUCCAUACGUUUUAUCAUUCUUGGCAGAAAAAAUGAUAAUCGAAUUUAAGAAGCAACUUAUCUUCGACUAGAGUUUGGGGGG